rnacentral:misc_RNA from 1 species
UCUAGCGGGUGGACUUUGUUCUUUGAAAACUGGAUAUCAUUGUAUUAAUUGUUUUAAAUUGCCGAGAACACAGCGUAUUUGUAUGAGUUUCUGAAAAAGAAAUUCGCAUCGCAUAACCGCUGACGCAAGUCAGUACAGGUUAAGUUACAAAGGGCGCACGGUGGAUGCCUUGGCACUAGGAGCCGAUGAAGGACGGAACUAAUACCGAUAUGCUUCGGGGAGCUAUAAGUAAGCUUUGAUCCGGAGAUUCCGAAUGCGGGAACCCAGUACACAUGACC